GGACUACUCGGGUAUCUAAUCCCGUUUGCUCCCCUGGCUUUCGCGCCUCAGCGUCAGAAGGGGUCCAGCACGUCGCUUUCGCCACCGGCGUUCCUUCCGAUAUCUACGCAUUUCACCGCUCCACCGGAAGUUCCACAUGCCCCUACCCCACUCGAGACCACCAGUAUCCGCAGCACUUCUCCGGUUAGGCCGAAGUAUUUCACCACGGACUUGAUGGCCCGCCUACGCGCCCUUUAAGCCCAGUGAUUCCGAACAACGUUCGCACGGUUCGUCUUACCGCGGCUGCUGGCAC
rnacentral:rRNA from 1 species